UACGGAGGGGGACAGCGUUGAUCGGAAUUACUGGGCGUAAAGCGCGCGUAGGCGGAUCUGUAAGUUGGGGGUGAAAUCCCGAGGCUCAACCUCGGAACUGCCUUCGAUACUGCAGAUCUCGAGUCCGAGAGAGGUGAGUGGAAUUCCUAGUGUAGAGGUGAAAUUCGUAGAUAUUAGGAAGAACACCAGUGGCGAAGGCGGCUCACUGGCUCGGUACUGACGCUGAGGCGCGAAAGCGUGGGGAGCAAACAGG
rnacentral:rRNA from 1 species